rnacentral:rRNA from 2 species
AGAGUUUGAUCCUGGCUCAGGAUGAACGCUGGCGGCGUGCUUAACACAUGCAAGUCGAGCGAAGCGAUUUAAAUGAGACUUCGGUGGAUUUUAAAUUGACUGAGCGGCGGACGGGUGAGUAACGCGUGGAUAACCUGCCUCACACAGGGGGAUAACAGUUAGAAAUGACUGCUAAUACCGCAUAAGCGCACGGUACCGCAUGGUACAGUGUGAAAAACUCCGGUGGUGUGAGAUGGAUCCGCGUCUGAUUAGGUAGUUGGUGAGGUAACGGCCCACCAAGCCGACGAUCAGUAGCCGACCUGAGAGGGUGACCGGCCACAUUGGGACUGAGACACGGCCCAAACUCCUACGGGAGGCAGCAGUGGGGAAUAUUGCACAAUGGGCGAAAGCCUGAUGCAGCAACGCCGCGUGAGUGAAGAAGUAUCUCGGUAUGUAAAGCUCUAUCAGCAGGGAAGAAAAUGACGGUACCUGACUAAGAAGCCCCGGCUAACUACGUGCCAGCAGCCGCGGUAAUACGUAGGGGGCAAGCGUUAUCCGGAUUUACUGGGUGUAAAGGGAGCGCAGACGGCACUGCAAGUCUGAAGUGAAAGCCCGGGGCUCAACCCCGGGACUGCUUUGGAAACUGUAGAGCUAGAGUGCUGGAGAGGCAAGCGGAAUUCCUAGUGUAGCGGUGAAAUGCGUAGAUAUUAGGAAGAACACCAGUGGCGAAGGCGGCUUGCUGGACAGUAACUGACGUUCAGGCUCGAAAGCGUGGGGAGCAAACAGGAUUAGAUACCCUGGUAGUCCACGCCGU